AAGACACACGUGAGAGGCGGUGCCAGAGACUUGCACGUACUGCAUACAUUUGACGGAUAAGCUGGCAUGUAUCCUCAUAUAAACUACUGGAUUAUGGUGGCAGGACCAGACCCUGAGGAGAGGAGUCCUGGACGCCAUGUGAAGUGUAUUUUGGAUGAAGCAAGGACGCUGAGUGGAUGCUGAUGUGAAGGAAACCUAAGUGUACACACACACACACACACACACACACACACACACACACACACACACCUGACACAGUGCCAGCAGCAGCCACAACCUCAUUUACAGCACAGGUAUCUCACUUCACACUACUUCUUUCACACUUUUUUCCCCCCAUCACAUACUCAACACUUACUUCACAGCCCCAGAGACUUCCUUCACCCCUCCCCCUCCCCCUCGCCCUCCCCCUCUUCCUCCCCCUCCACACUACAUCCAGUACAGUGCAGUGCACCCUUCUGUUAAAUCCUGCCACAUCCCUCCCCCACAAUCUUCUACAGCAUCCAGUGGUCGCCCAUUUAGAUGAACACAAUCGUGAUGCUGCUGCUUCAGGUAGUGUGGGGUUGGCCGUCACUAGCCACAGUGUGGAGGAGUAUCGACCUCUCCUUCAACCUCACCUCCCUCACUAUACAUGUUGAUGGUGACCUGGUG